UGGAUAUCCGCCUUUUGGUUCGGAAUAACCCCGGGAAACUGGGGCUAAUACCGGAUGGUUCCUUCGGGAUAAAGAUUUAUCGCCAAAAGAUGAGUCCGCGUCCGAUUAGCUAGUUGGUGAGGUAAUGGCUCACCAAGGCGACGAUCGGUAGCUGGUCUGAGAGGACGAUCAGCCACACUGGGACUGAGACACGGCCCAGACUCCUACGGGAGGCAG
rnacentral:rRNA from 1 species